rnacentral:rRNA from 1 species
GUGCACGCUGGCGGUAGGCCUAACACAUGCAAGUCGAACGGCAGCACAGUAAGAGCUUGCUCUUACGGGUGGCGAGUGGCGGACGGGUGAGGAAUACAUCGGAAUCUACUUUUUCGUGGGGGAUAACGUAGGGAAACUUACGCUAAUACCGCAUACGACCUACGGGUGAAAGCAGGGGAUCUUCGGACCUUGCGCGAUUGAAUGAGCCGAUGUCGGAUUAGCUAGUUGGCGGGGUAAAGGCCCACCAAGGCGACGAUCCGUAGCUGGUCUGAGAGGAUGAUCAGCCACACUGGAACUGAGACACGGUCCAGACUCCUACGGGAGGCAGCAGUGGGGAAUAUUGGACAAUGGGCGCAAGCCUGGUCCAGCCAUACCGCGUGGGUGAAGAAGGCCUUCGGGUUGUAAAGCCCUUUUGUUGGGAAAGAAAAGCAGCAGGUUAAUACCCCGCUGUUCUGACGGUACCCAAAGAAUAAGCACCGGCUAACUUCGUG